UGUAAUGAUGUGACAGUGUUGUUGAUUUC
rnacentral:piRNA from 1 species